rnacentral:rRNA from 1 species
AAAAAUGCACAUGCUGUGAGCUCGAUGAGUAGGGCGGGACACGUGGUAUCCUGUCUGAAUAUGGGGGGACCAUCCUCCAAGGCUAAAUACUCCUGACUGACCGAUAGUGAACCAGUACCGUGAGGGAAAGGCGAAAAGAACCCCGGCGAGGGGAGUGAAAAAGAACCUGAAACCGUGUACGUACAAGCAGUGGGAGCACGCUUAGGCGUGUGACUGCGUACCUUUUGUAUAAUGGGUCAGCGACUUAUAUUCUGUAGCAAGGUUAACCGAAUAGGGGAGCCGAAGGGAAACCGAGUCUUAACUGGGCGUUAAGUUGCAGGGUAUAGACCCGAAACCCGGUGAUCUAGCCAUGGGCAGGUUGAAGGUUGGGUAACACUAACUGGAGGACCGAACCGACUAAUGUUGAAAAAUUAGCGGAUGACUUGUGGCUGGGGGUGAAAGGCCAAUCAAACCGGGAGAUAGCUGGUUCUCCCCGAAAGCUAUUUAGGUAGCGCCUCGUGAAUUCAUCUCCGGGGGUAGAGCACUGUUUCGGCAAGGGGGUCAUCCCGACUUACCAACCCGAUGCAAACUGCGAAUACCGGAGAAUGUUAUCACGGGAGACACACGGCGGGUGCUAACGUCCGUCGUGAAGAGGGAAACAACCCAGACCGCCAGCUAAGGUCCCAAAGUCAUGGUUAAGUGGGAAACGAUGUGGGAAGGCCCAGACAGCCAGGAUGUUGGCUUAGAAGCAGCCAUCAUUUAAAGAAAGCGUAAUAGCUCACUGGUCGAGUCGGCCUGCGCGGAAGAUGUAACGGGGCUAAACCAUGCACCGAAGCUGCGGCAGCGACACUAUGUGUUGUUGGGUAGGGGAGCGUUCUGUAAGCCUGUGAAGGUGUGCUGUGAGGCAUGCUGGAGGUAUCAGAAGUGCGAAUGCUGACAUAAGUAACGAUAAAGCGGGUGAAAAGCCCGCUCGCCGGAAGACCAAGGGUUCCUGUCCAACGUUAAUCGGGGCAGGGUGAGUCGACCCCUAAGGCGAGGCCGAAAGGCGUAGUCGAUGGGAAACAGGUUAAUAUUCCUGUACUUGGUGUUACUGCGAAGGGGGGACGGAGAAGGCUAUGUUGGCCGGGCGACGGUUGUCCCGGUUUAAGCGUGUAGGCUGGUUUUCCAGGCAAAUCCGGAAAAUCAAGGCUGAGGCGUGAUGACGAGGCACUACGGUGCUGAAGCAACAAAUGCCCUGCUUCCAGGAAAAGCCUCUAAGCAUCAGGUAACAUCAAAUCGUACCCCAAACCGACACAGGUGGUCAGGUAGAGAAUACCAAGGCGCUUGAGAGAACUCGGGUGAAGGAACUAGGCAAAAUGGUGCCGUAACUUCGGGAGAAGG